rnacentral:rRNA from 1 species
AACGAACGCUGGCGGCAUGCCUAACACACGCAAGUCGAACGAAGUCUUCGGACUUAGUGGCGCACGGGUGCGUAACGCGUGGGAAUCUGCCCUUGGGUGCGGAAUAACUUCUCGAAAGGGAUGCUAAUACCGCAUAAUGUCGUAAGACCAAAGAUUUAUCGCCCAAGGAUGAGCCCGCGUAAGAUUAGCUAGUUGGUGGGGUAAAAGCCUACCAAGGCGACGAUCUUUAGCUGGUCUGAGAGGAUGAUCAGCCACACUGGGACUGAGACACGGCCCAGACUCCUACGGGAGGCAGCAGUGGGGAAUAUUGGACAAUGGGCGAAAGCCUGAUCCAGCAAUGCCGCGUGAGUGAUGAAGGCCCUAGGGUUGUAAAGCUCUUUUACCAGGGAUGAUAAUGACAGUACCUGGAGAAUAAGCUCCGGCUAACUCCGUGCCAGCAGCCGCGGUAAU